rnacentral:rRNA from 1 species
GAUCCUGGCUCAGAAUCAACGCUGGCGGCGUGCCUAACACAUGCAAGUCGAACGAGAAAGUGGGGGCAACUCCACGAGGUACAGUGGCAGACGGGGUGAGUACCACGUGAACCAACCUACCCUUGAGUGUGGGAUACCACCGCGAAAAGCGGUGCUAACACCGCAUAACAUCUUUGGGUUGCAUGACUCGAAGAUCAAAAGCGCAAGUUGCUCGAGGAGGGGUUCGCGCCUGAUUAGCUAGUUGGUGAGGUAACGGCCCACCAAGGCGACGAUCAGUAGCCGGCCUGAGAGGGCGAACGGCCACACUGGAACUGAGACACGGUCCAGACUCCUACGGGAGGCAGCAGUGGGGAAUUUUGCGCAAUGGGCGAAAGCCUGACGCAGCAACGCCGCGUGGAGGAUGAAGGCCUUCGGGUCGUAAACUCCUGUCAGUGGGGACGAAUGCUUCGAGAGAAGUUUGACUGUACCCGCUGAGGAAGCCACGGCUAACUCCGUGCCAGCAGCCGCGGUAAUACGGAGGUGGCAAGCGUUGUUCGGAAUUACUGGGCGUAAAGGGCGCGUAGGCGGCUUUGCAAGUCAGAUGUGAAAGCCCCAGGCUUAACCUGGGAAUUGCAUCUGAAACUGCUUUGCUUGAGUCCUGGAUGGGAUAGUGGAAUUCCCAGUGUAGCGGUGAAAUGCGUAGAUAUUGGGAGGAACACCUGCGGCGAAGGCGGCUAUCUGGACAGUGGCUGACGCUGAGGCGCGAAAGCUAGGGGA